UACGAAGGGGGCUAGCGUUGCUCGGAAUCACUGGGCGUAAAGCGCACGUAGGCGGCUUUUUAAGUCAGGGGUGAAAUCCUGGAGCUCAACUCCAGAACUGCCUUUGAUACUGAGAAGCUUGAGUCCGGGAGAGGUGAGUGGAACUGCGAGUGUAGAGGUGAAAUUCGUAGAUAUUCGCAAGAACACCAGUGGCGAAGGCGACUCGCUGGACAAGUAUUGACGCUGAGGUGCGAAAGCGUGGGGAGCAAACAGG
rnacentral:rRNA from 1 species